AAAUGUCUUAAAAUAAUGAGGUGUGAAAAGAAAAAGGUAGGGAUGAAAAGGAAUCCACAUUAGAAAACUGAUCCACUAGUGAAGUGCAGUGAAGUGCACACCUUGUGAAUUUUGGAAACUGCUUUUUUAGUUCUCAAAUCAAAUAAUAGGAAGCAGCAAGGUGGCUGCCAAUGUAUGGUUCCCAUGCUUUUAUUUGCAGUGCUGUGCCUUGAAACACAAAUGAUGGGAUCUCACCAUAAAUGGGGGCUGAGGUCUUCUCAUGAGCAUUGGCAACUAAUUAAGAAAACACCAAGAGGCAAGAGAUGGGUGCAGGUGGCAAGACUUACAUCAUCCUCUGCAUUCUCUUCUUCAUUUCUUCUGAGGCCUUGGUGGUGUCUAAUGCCCUAAAACCUUCACAAACACAACAUGUUGUUCAGCAUGUAAUUGGGUCAAGAACGUGUGGGAGAACAUGCCCUAGUGAUCCGGUUCAUGCCCCUAGAACAGGUUGCAGACCUGGUAAACCUGGCUGCGGAAGGCCUCCAGCUCCAUGAAUUUGGUCUGUUAUUCUUAUGGUAUUUUUGGCAGCUAUGGAAGUAAUAAAGCAAUAAAUUGGGUCAUCCUCUCUAUAUGUGAAUUCUCACAAUUAAGUGGACUCUUGGAUGCAUGUAUUCGUAUACUACAGCAGCCAAAAAAACAAAGUGCAGUGUCUUGUUGUAAUGGUAUGUAUAUAUGAGAAUUAAUCCAAGUUUCGUUUCA